rnacentral:rRNA from 1 species
CGUAACAAGGUUUCCGUAGGUGAACCUGCGGAAGGAUCAUUACCGA